UUCUUCUCAUCCCAACUCAUGUUUUUUUCAUCCUCCACAAAAGCUUCUCUUAAAGCUUCCAUCACCUUCCCAAAUUAACCUCAAAUUUCAUGCUUCUACACACCUUGUUAUAGGGUUUUUCAUACUCUUUUACUCUUUCACCUUAAAAACCCUCAAAAGUCUUACUCUUAUACUUUCUCUCACUAGCUAGGUGUUUUAGAGAGAGAAAGAGAGAGCUUCUACAAUAACUUGAAAACUCUUAGAAAGGGAUUCAAUUAUAAAGCUACCAAGGUGAGUAAUGAAGUAGAGUUGAUUUUUAAGUGUUGAGAAUGGCUAGUGAUUAGACUUAUGAGUGUUUUGUAGUUAAGGUUGUUUAUUCAUUUUAGAGUGAUUAGGAUAGUGAAAAUAGAUUGCCACUUAAUGGCAAUUGGAAACUAGUUAAGAGAUAGCUUUUAGAAUUUAUAGUUAUGUGAAUUGAGUUAAUUAUGAUGCUAUUGUGAUGAUAGGUUCCAACGAAGCCCCACCACCCCAUUUGGACCAUUAAAGGAAGUUGAAGUUGGGUAAAGAUUUAACAAAUACUGGUGAGUGAACUUGCACUAAAAUGCUUUGGGUAGAUGCAUAUACGUUUGAACGAAUCACUUGAAUGGUUUAAAUUGUCUUUUCUUCAAAAUGCAUAUUGGAACAAGUCUUUGACGAAACGUUUUUACGUUGUGAAAUGUGAUUGCAAUGAAUUUGUGAAAUCCCUUUAUAUGUUGAUAUAUAUAUAUAUAUAUAUAUGUAUGUAUUAUAUAUUGGUAGAUAAUAUUAUGUAAUGAAUAUAACCGUGCAUGUGCACGAUGUGGGGGAUGCACAUGCUAGUGAUGAUAGGGUGUGGGAGUGUGGAGGAUGACAUUGUUGUGCACGAUGUGGGGGUUGCACAUAAUGGCAUUAAUUGUGGGCGAUGUGGGGGUUGCACAUGAGCUGGGUGAGGCGACAGUGAUAUGCAUGAUGAUGUAUGUAUAUAUAUAUAUAUAUAUAUAUAUGUUAUUGAACGUUUAUGAAAAUAUUUGUGAUUGGGUUGUAUGUUGGCAUUGUUAAUUUCUCCCAAAUUGCUUUUCAUUUCAGCAAGGAAAUGGCUUUUUGAUGUAACAAGAUCCCUUUAACUAAAUUGCUCUGUUUCUCGCUGCAACGAGAUUCAUUUUCACUGCAGCGAGAAACUCUUGGGUAGGCAGCCUUAAUCCAUGCUCUGAAUUUUGCUGCAGCGAAAAUGGAUUCUCACUGCAGCAAGAAACUCUCGAGUGGUUCCAAAAUUUUGGUGCAGUGGUUUUACUUCGACAAAGAUUUUGACCACAUUUCGAUCAGAACUGGGCAAAGUGGUAAACAUCAAAGUUGUAUCCUAGUCUCUUAUCUUUCUAAUGACCUAAAAAUAAUGUCAAUUGGACUUUUGUAGUGAGAGAUAUGCUUGAAAGAUUGAAAUAUAUGCAAACUAAGAAUGCCUUUUCACUGCAAUUAGAAAACCCUCUGUUUGCUUGUCUUGCUUGGUCAUUGCUGAAAUUUUCAUUCUAUUCAUCUUCAUGGUUUAUCAUGGAUCUUGUAACAUUAAGGGAUUAAGCAUUCAAAGUUUAGAACGAGGGGUUUUAACCAAAAAUUAGACUAAAUUGCAUGGUUUUAUCGUAAGUGCAUCAUGUUUUCUAAAAUGUUCCUUAUCGUUGCUUGUUCCCUUCUUAUGUUCACUCACUGAGUUUAUACUCACUCUUUUAAAUUGCAUGUUUUCAGAUUCGUAGCUAGUUGGGACCAAGAUUAAGGAGACCACUCGUAUUCACCCCUUGGUAGGUAUAUGGCAUUCGGUAGCUGUGCGCUCACCUAAGUCACUCCGCUGGUUGUCAAGAAUUUUGCAUGUGUAUUUACACUUGAUGUAAAUCGCUAAGAUUUAGGCUACAAACAAUAGAUGUAUAUGUGAUAUGAUGAUGCAAUUAUGAGAUGGCAAUGAAUGACAGUAUUUUG
rnacentral:lncRNA from 1 species